GCGCGCGAGUCACACCGUUCAAGAAACCACAAUAAGAUGAGGAGAUUACUGCCUGAAACUUGCAAUCCCAUUAUCUGUCAGCCUAUGAAAGAUAAAAAGUGCCACUCGUGUAUCCAGAAAGUCAUUUUUCAGUAGACACAGAUGGUGUGGCUUCCUGACUUCCCCACUUCAUGGAGACUUGCCUUCAGUCUUCACAUGGGACAGUGGCCUGGUUGAAUCCUACAGACAGGAAGAUGGAGGAUGCCUCAACAGUAUUGGAGGAUAAUUGGGACCGCUUCUGCUGCCUGGUUGUUAGCUGUGCGACUGCUGUCUUUGUCUUUGGGAUCUGCAGGGAAAGGCGCUCCAAGAAGGAGUGUCCAGUCCUGGCUGCUGUAUUCGGGGAAGUCCCCAUCGUGUGUGGUCUUCAUGAUGUAAUGUGCAGAGCCUGGCCUCUUACUACUGAUGGUAAAGGGCCCCAGGUUUUCCUAUCCCUGUUCCCUGACUUCCAGGAAUGUGUCAGAGUCUUGGCCAAUUAGAUACUCCCUUGAGCAAAUCCAAAUAAGGCAAAGGUAUUUUAAUGUUCUUUCAAGAUGGAGGCAGCAAUGGUAUUCUAGGUGAUGGCAAUGGUGUCCAAUGGCAGUGGAGGAAAUAUCUUAGAUAGACUAUUUCUGCUAAAAGAUCAUUGUGCUUCCUUCUUCUCAGCCCACAAGAGAUGGUUCCUGUACAUUUUCAUAGCCUGAUCACCCAGGCAUACUUCAAUUCAUCAAGGUCCUAAUGCCCUCUUGAUAAUCCCAUGUUUUAUCUAGGAAAGUCAGAGAUGAUUUCUGUAACUUGUGGCUGAAGGCAUCCAUUUAGGAUUUCCAGGUAGGUGGCCUCAGACUUUGAGAACAAGCAGAUGUUUCUAUUAAAUGACAGACUCAUUAGGAGAAAUACCUUGGUGGGCUAGGAGGCAGGCCUAAACCAAGAAGAUGAAACUAAGCAGGAAUACAUGCAAAAUUCUGCAUUUGGAUUAAAAAUAUAAACUAACUUCACAAGGCAGAAAUCUGACCGAGUGGCAGUUCACAUGACAGUGUUCUGUGGUUUCAUCCUCACCUAAAGCUCCAUGUGGGGUCCCUUGAGGUGUCGUGACCACCAUCCUCAGGGAAAAGAAAGUGGCCUUAGGAGUCUUGUAUUUGGUUCUGUGUAUUUUUUCUUGUGAAGCAAAACUAAUUUUUAGAAAGUUCAAUCGAAUAUCUCUCUUUCUACUAUGAUUUUUCUAGCUCUACAAUCUAUCCAAAAUUUUAAAAAUUUUUUGAAAAAAGAACUGUUUAAAUCUCUUAAGAUUAUUUAAUACUGUUGUGUACACCUUCCUUUGUGAAAUUAAAGACAUAUUACAGUAUAAAAACAGACACAUAGAUCAAUGGAACAGAAUAUAGAGUCCAGAAAUAAACCCACGCAUACAUGGUCA
rnacentral:lncRNA from 1 species